rnacentral:rRNA from 1 species
CUCGUAGGCGGCUCGGUAAGUUGGGUGUGAAAACUCCAGGCUCAACCUGGAGAGGCCACUCAAUACUGCCGUGGCUAGAGUUCGGUAGAGGAUCGUGGAAUUUCUGGUGUAGCGGUGAAAUGCGCAGAUAUCAGAAGGAACACCAAUGGCGAAGGCAGCGAUCUGGGCCGAUACUGACGCUGAGGAGCGAAAGCAUGGGGAGCAAACA